rnacentral:lncRNA from 1 species
AAGUAUCUGAACUGCACUUUCCCUUGACCACAGGCCACAAUCCAGGCACAAGAGGAUGCAUUAGCUAUUACUCAGGCUCUGCCUUGGCCUGCAAGGAGGAUGCCUAUGGCAAUUCUAUCAUCCAUACAACUCCAGGCCGAAGGGCCUGAUCCCAUGUUGAUUUCUCUGGAAGUGCUUACGUCCAGCAAGAGACACCAAGACCCGGCUGUGAGCCCUAGGUCGCCUCAUAGCAUCACUAAGCCUGGCGGAUGCAUCCAGGCGGCUCCUGAAUGUAGGGGCUGCUUUUCUCUUUGGAAAUGGCCCAGGAAACCAGGGCACUCUAUAGGAAAGUGGGUCUAAUAAACAGAAAUCUCACUGAAGUCUUCAUUCCCUUUAAGCCCAGCUAGUUAUACUGAAUUAAGCUUGAUUUUAGAAGCCAGAUAUUGUGAGUAAAAUUAAUAAAAAGUUAGCCACUUGGCUUACCCUGUUACCAGUGUGUCUUAUCUCGUUGGAGGGACUUCAAUACCGUGAGUCACG